rnacentral:rRNA from 1 species
UACGGAGGGUGCAAGCGUUGUUCGGAAUCACUGGGCGUAAAGGGAGCGUAGGCGGACCUUAAAGUCUGAUGUGAAAGCCCAGGGCUCAACCCUGGAAGUGCAUUGGAAACUUAAGGUCUUGAGUUCGGGAGAGGAAGGCAGAAUUCCCGGUGUAGGGGUGAAAUCCGUAGAGAUCGGGAGGAAAACCAGUGGCGAAGGCGGCCUUCUGGAACGAAACUGACGCUGAGGCUCGAAAGCGUGGGGAGCAAACAGG